AAACACUUGAGUUCUAAUAUAUAUAUAUAUAUAUAUAUUUUUUUUAAAGUUAUAAAGGUUUUGGGACUCGGGAAUUUUAACUUGGUGUUUUUAAAAUCUGAAGAUGUGUGUGAAGUACUGGGUUGUCGAGUUUUAGACCUUGUUGAAUUGCUCUUAAUCUUGUGCUUUUGAACUAUAAUUUUAAUUUAUAAUGAGAUAAGUUGCAGAAGAUUUCUGAAGAGUAGUCAAGUUUAUGUUGUUGAGAAAGGCCAGUACCUCAAUGAGGGUUUACCUUUUGGUGCAUUCAACAACUGAAAAGCGGAUGAAGUCUGUUGAUCAACUUAUAUCGAAAGGUAAGACAUAGGAUUACAAUCAUAAAAAUACUAAAUUGCAAGCUGGUGGGCAAAACCCCCUCAAUGCAUUGUUGUCAAGGUCCCAAAAUCCUGUCAGAGAAAGGGGAAAAUGGAGGAAAGAGAAAGGGAG